CAACAGUGGACGUCCACAGGCUGAUGAUGAUGAUCUAUAGUUCGCGAUAGGUCGACAUGGAAAUCGGAGUAUAAGACGGGAGUAUGUCCCGCACCUGUACAUCACCCACGCUAUCCCGUACCAGAUUAGCGCGGGUACUGUUCGGGUCUCCACCCCGAUUGCCAUGUCGACCUGUCGCGAACUAUACAUAGCAAACAUCUGGUAUUGGAACCUAUGGGGUGAUACGCUUGCGCAGUCUAACACUGAAUAGCCACCAAGCUUAUUUGACAUUGGUUGGUUCUACAAUGCUGCUUUACUGAGUGAU